UAUUUGCCGUUCUCGGGAUAUUAUAAAAUGUUCAAGUGGAUUGCAUUCAUUAGCUUGAAUCUCUUCGUUCGAGUAACAGUUACUAUAAUAUCAUUCAAAAUGAACUUCGCCAAGAUUUUCUUCUUCAUAUUCGCUUGCAUAGUUUUGACUACAGUUUCCGGCGCUCCGAGUCCUAAAUGGAAGCUCUUCAAAAGAAUUGAAAAAAUCGGUAGAAACGUUCGGAAUGGUCUCAUCAAGGCAGGCCCUGCGAUUCAAGUUGUCGGCCAAGCCACUGCCAUCGCCAAGGGAUAAGCGACCUUAUCGCUUGAGCCAUGGCAACAAAAAUAGCUCAAUUCUUUUCUCUUCAAACCGUUUCAUAAAAUCUUCUAGUCGUAAGAUUAAAAUGUAUUAUUAAGUUACAAUAAACAUUAUUUAUUAUUUUUA